UUAUUCUGCAUGACGUAGGGGUAUUUAAAUGACCAACCAGCAGCCUUAGACGUUAGAAAAAUAAUGAAUAUUCAUGAUAUUAUCGAAGAAGAGAUGCUGAACAGUUGAAAAAUACGAAGCAGUCACGAUGGUCAUGCUUCCCUAGUUGUGUAUAUCCGUUUAGGCUUAUUGCAGCCAAGAUUCAACAGUUUGAAGCAUACUGCCUUACUUGAAGACGUUUCACAAAGUAGGGAGAAAUGGAAAUGAAUAGUCUGAGAAGUCUACAGAAUGAUAGUGAAGUAGACCGAUAACCAAGCCUGCAAAAGCAACAUGAAGACGGACAGCUUAGCAGCAGGUUUAUAUUCGUAGAUGCCAGCAAAAACAAGCCAAAACAAAUGGCCGCCUUGGAAACUAUAGGAUAUUAGGUAACAAUUUAAAUACAGU